GCGCGGCGCCGCCAGAGUAAGGCUCGGGGUGUCCCGGAGAGCCCGUGCUGCCCCGCGAGGACGUGUCGAAGCUCCCGGGAUAGUCCUGGAACUGGCCUGAGAACCACUCAUUUUUGGUGCCUGAAUCUGUGAUGGCAACUGUAGGAUACCACAAAGUUGCCUGGAUGUAGCAGGAACCAUGCUAGGAGGGGUUGAAGACUGGUGCAACUCAGCUAAUACACAAUGAGCUGCACAUGCUUGAUCUCCCCUAGUGGAAAGAGAAUUAGUUUAAGAUGUGAGAGAAGUUAGCCUGCAGUUUUUCUGAGAUGAACACUGAAAUAAAAAAUAAUUUACACAAAA